CCGCGGUAAUACGGGAGUGGCAAGCGUUAUCCGGAAUUAUUGGGCGUAAAGCGUCCGCAGGCGGCCCUUCAAGUCUGCUGUUAAAAAGUGGAGCUUAACUCCAUCAUGGCAGUGGAAACUGUUGGGCUUGAGUGUGGUAGGGGCAGAGGGAAUUCCCGGUGUAGCGGUGAAAUGCUUAGAUAUCGGGAAGAACACCAGUGGCGAAGGCGCUCUGCUGGGCCAUCACUGACGCUCAUGGACGAAAGCCAGGGGAGCGAAAGGGAUUAGAUACCCCUGUAGU
rnacentral:rRNA from 1 species